GUCGAUCAAUACAAUCGACGAAGAAGACAGUGCAAAAGAUGAAGCCCCCUGUUGUAAACACAAACAAGUAAAUCAACUGUGGCUACACAAACAUGUCUGUUGUUUUUGUGCCAAAGAAACUACGAGGAAAGGCGAAGAUUAACCAAGAAACAAUACAAGGUUGCUGGAUGAAAACGACCAGUUAAUUAGAUGCAUCACUGAAUACAUGCAAAAAGGACGAGCAGUGGAGUGUGUUCAGUACCAACAGAUCCUGCACCGCAACAUAGUCUACCUGGCAACCAUAGCGGAUGCCAGCCCAGACAACAUGCCUCCCUCUACAAAUUCCACAUCUAAUGCAACCUCGGCCUCCACACCAAAUGUGAACGGGCAGGGAAAAUGAUGAAGGCAGCUUGUCAGUGCAGUUGGGAUGGUCGGUCAAGUUUGUGACACCACAGGAAAAUUUAGUAACUAUUACUGUGUUUAGUAAUGUUACCAUUCCAGGAUCCUGGUGUUUCUGUUCAUAAAUCCUAUAAUGUGUGUAUCACAUGUGGAGAAAAACUUUGAAUUCAUAAUGUCAUGUUUUUAGUAUUAUCUGAAUUAACAACUGUACAUUAAAAUGUUUUUUAAAGUUA